rnacentral:rRNA from 1 species
UUGAACGCUGGCGGCAUGCCUUACACAUGCAAGUCGAACGGCAGCACGGGUGCUUGCACCUGGUGGCGAGUGGCGAACGGGUGAGUAAUACAUCGGAACAUGUCCUGUAGUGGGGGAUAGCCCGGCGAAAGCCGGAUUAAUACCGCAUACGAUCUACGGAUGAAAGCGGGGGACCUUCGGGCCUCGCGCUAUAGGGUUGGCCGAUGGCUGAUUAGCUAGUUGGUGGGGUAAAGGCCUACCAAGGCGACGAUCAGUAGCUGGUCUGAGAGGACGACCAGCCACACUGGGACUGAGACACGGCCCAGACUCCUACGGGAGGCAGCAGUGGGGAAUUUUGGACAAUGGGCGAAAGCCUGAUCCAGCAAUGCCGCGUGUGUGAAGAAGGCCUUCGGGUUGUAAAGCACUUUUGUCCGGAAAGAAAUCCUUGGCUCUAAUACAGUCGGGGGAGGACGGUACCGGAAGAAUAAGCACCGGCUAACUACGU